rnacentral:rRNA from 1 species
AGUGAACGCUGGCGGUAGGCCUAACACAUGCAAGUCGAACGGCAGCACAGUAAGAGCUUGCUCUUACGGGUGGCGAGUGGCGGACGGGUGAGGAAUACAUCGGAAUCUACUUUUUCGUGGGGGAUAACGUAGGGAAACUUACGCUAAUACCGCAUACGACCUACGGGUGAAAGCAGUGGAUCUUCGGACCUUGCGCGAUUGAAUGAGCCGAUGUCGGAUUAGCUAGUUGGCGAGGUAAAGGCCCACCAAGGCGACGAUCCGUAGCUGGUCUGAGAGGAUGAGCGGCAACACUGGAACUGAGACACGGUACAGAAUACUACGGGAGGCAGCAGUAGGGAAUGUUCCGCAAGGGGCGAAAGCCUGACGGAGAAACGCAGCGUGAGUGAUGAAGGGCUUCGGAGCGUAAAACUCUGUUAGGAGGGAAGAACAAAUGUGUAAGGAACUAUGCACGUCUGGACGGUACCUAAUCAGAAAGCCACGGCUAACUACGUG